rnacentral:sRNA from 1 species
GGAGGUUAGCCGAGGAGUGGUGCAGUAUUCUAGUCGGCCCGUCUCCCCUGAAGGCGGGGCUAAAAAUCCGUCAAAGGGCACAUCGAUGAAGUUCUUGGUGUUGGCUUCCGACGCCCAGUCGGGGGUUGAUGCUGAGAGUUAAGGAAGGGGGGCGAUCCACAAGGGCAUGUGGGCGUUGACCCUUCUUCCGCGGAGGCCCAAGUGCGUGCUCAAUGGUCAAUGAGCCAUCGGGGACGGCUUGGGGGAUGAACCUGCAUGCGGGAUAAAAACUGUGUGCAGUGUAGCCUGCCUUGAGUGGUGCAGCGGGGAGGCGUAGCCUGUAAGCGGCUCCGCUGAAACCUGCACUGCAAAAGAGGCUAGGGGGAGGAGCGGUGCCGUCGAGGAAAACUCCUAGACUGUUUGCAUGAUGCAAGGCUAUCCGGGGAUUGAAGUGCGCACUAAGUGGCAAUCCAGUCCGGCGUUUGGCGACAGCGCCGAGAAGGUCUUAAAGGGAAACCGCUCGGUCGGCGACGACCGAGUGACCUUUUGGGAAAUCCUACUGGACCUAAGUCGCAGGGUUUACCCGGGUAGUCACCACUCCGUCCCUCUUUAUU